GGCUCUCACCUUUGUGUAUCCUUUUGGUGCCACAUUGAGUGUCAUGAAACCAGCAGUGGCGGUUCUGUCUACAGGUUCUGUCUGCUUCCCACUUAACAGACCCAUUCUAGCUUUCUAUCACUCAAAGAACCAAGGUGGGAAGCUGGCAGUGCUUGGUUCAUGUCACAUGUUCAGUGAUCAAUAUUUGGACAAAGAAGAAAACAGCAAAAUCAUGGAUGUUGUUUUCCAGUGGCUCACAACAGGAGACAUCCACCUAAACCAGAUUGAUGCUGAGGACCCAGAGAUUUCUGACUACAUGAUGCUGCCCUACACAGCCACCCUAUCAAAGCGGAAUCGAGAGUGUCUCCAGGAGAGCGAUGAGAUCCCGAGGGACUUUACCACCCUCUUCGACCUGUCCAUCUUCCAGCUGGAUACCACCUCCUUCCACAGCGUCAUCGAGUCAGUACCUGUGGGCCUCUGAGCCACACUGCACUCCAUUUUGAGUGUUUGGUUUGGAAACAUGAACCUGGGAAUGG
rnacentral:sRNA from 1 species